AUCACAUAAAAAUACAAAAAUAAAGAGAAAAUAAUAUGAAAGAAAAAUAAUGAGCAAAGAUAAUCUUUCCUCUUACCUUUUUUCUCUACAAAAUAUCAACUUUUGAUCUCUUGAUAGAAGACUCUCCUCCAAGAAUCUUGGUGCCUCAUACCACCCAUGCUAUCCUCUUUCUCCUCUACUUUUUCACUCAAAAAAAUAUAGAUUUUAGACUCCUAUAUCUUCUCAUAUGGGGUGGCACCAAUAUAAGAGGUAGAUAAGG
rnacentral:lncRNA from 1 species